rnacentral:rRNA from 1 species
UACAGAGACUGCAAGCGUUGUUCGGAAUCACUGGGCGUAAAGGGUGCGUAGGCGGGUCUUUAAGUCAGAGGUGAAAUCCUGGAGCUCAACUCCAGAACUGCCUUUGAUACUGAGGAUCUUGAGUUCGGGAGAGGUGAGUGGAACUGCGAGUGUAGAGGUGAAAUUCGUAGAUAUUCGCAAGAACACCAGUGGCGAAGGCGGCUCACUGGCCCGGUACUGACGCUGAGGUGCGAAAGCGUGGGGAGCAAACAGG